rnacentral:lncRNA from 1 species
CUUUGACAUCCCUCUCAUUGGUCAGCAGGAUGUUUAGUCUAUGUCCAUCUCUUUUCAGAAAUCCCGAGCUGGACACUGAGAACGUCAGUCCUAUCUUUUCUGAGUCUUGAAUCAAAAGCUUCCAGGACUCUAUGGCCUAGAAGUGAAAUUAAAGACACCUCCUGCUGCAGAGAGUGCUUUAAGUAAGGAAGGUUUUCCUUGGCUUCUGUCUGCAUUCCAUAAAAUACUCAUUGCCUUUUAGGUAAGUAUAUGGCUUUGCUUUCAUCCGUUCUAAGCAGAAGAUAUUGAUUGCCUCUGAAACCUGUGUCAUUGUUAUUAAGACAAAAAGCCUGUGAUCUUAAAUAUUUUGCUCUCAGACACUAAAUAAAUAAGUAAGCCCAGCCA